UAAUACGAAAGGUGCAAGCGUUACUCGGAAUUACUGGGCGUAAAGCGCGCGUAGGCGGCUUUGUAGGUCGAUUGUGAAAGCCCCGGGCUCAACCUGGGAACUGCAGUUGAAACCGCAUAGCUUGAAUGUUGGAGAGGGUGGGGGAAUACCUAGUGGAGAAGUGAAAUUCGUAGAGAUUAGGUGGAACACCAGAGGCGAAGGCGCCUGCCUGGCCAAACAUUGACGCUAAGGCGCGAAAGUGCGGGGAGCAAACAGGAUUAGAUACCCUGGUAGUCCGCACCGUAAACGAUGGACACUCGGCGUUCGGAGAGUUAACCCUCUGAGUGCCAAAGUUAACACAUUAAGUGUCCCGCCUGGGAAGUACGGUCGCAAGACUA
rnacentral:rRNA from 1 species